rnacentral:rRNA from 1 species
AUGCUGGGAGUGGGAGGGACGCGGAAACGUGGAAGGAAAGCGAAGGACUCUGCUCAGGAGAAAAACAGGGCCGUGCCAUGGACCCCAGACGAGCACAGGCUGUUCUUGGCGGGGAUCAAAGAACACGGCGUAGGCAAGUGGCAGAAGCUGGCCCGGGAGUUCGUGCCGACGAGGAACGCGUCCCAGAUCGCGAGCCACUACCAAAAGUACAGCAUCAGGCAGCAGAAGCUACGCCGCAACGAGUGCAAGCGGCCGAGCAUCCAUGACAUCAACGACGAUGACACACUGAGCCCUGCCGGCAAGCAGUCAGCUGCAGCUGUAGGCGAAGCUGGAGGUGGAUGCUGA